UACGUAGGCGCAAGCGUUGUCCGGAAUUAUUGGGCGUAAAGAGCUCGUAGGCGGCUUGUCACGUCGGAUGUGAAAGCCCGGGGCUUAACCCCGGGUCUGCAGUCGAUACGGGCAGGCUAGAGUGCGGUAGGGGAGACUGGAAUUCCUGGUGUAGCGGUGAAAUGCGCAGAUAUCAGGAGGAACACCGGUGGCGAAGGCGGGUCUCUGGGCCGAUACUGACGCUGAGGAGCGAAAGCGUGGGGAGCAAACAGG
rnacentral:rRNA from 1 species